ensembl:lncRNA
GCUUUCGGUGCUUGGUAGAUCGAUGCUUCUGAACUUAAAGGCAAAGUAAUAAACUAAACAAACCGCCGGUUGCUGCUUCAGAGAGCCGCUCGCCUCCGUUAUUUCUGCUCAUUUUGGACAGAAAACGCUUCACGGGGUGCACAGGGUUUGCUGAGAAGAUGCUUAUUUUCCCACGACUUGCUUCGUAUCUCAUAUCUAUGUGACUGAUUUUUGAUAGAUCAGACAAAGGUCACGUUAUUGACCAAAAUAGCACAGUUCUUUGGUUGUUUUUGGCUAGAUGUAAGCCUUUAGUCGAUGCGUUGCAGCCUAUGACGAUGAUGUGUUGUAAAGAUUACUGUUCGUGUUGAGCAGGGCGCUCCUCCUCCCUCUCCGCUUUCGGGCCAUGUCACGAGCCAUAGCCCGGUGCACCCCGGUCCAGUUGAAUUAAACUCCCUCAAUAUAACUCUACUCUAUGACAUGGUAGUGUACACAGUAUAAUACAAAUCUAAUUCUAUUCAUCUUGUAGUCCCAUGAUCCUCCCCC